GAUUAGAGUUUGAUCCUGGCUCAGAACGAACGCUGGCGGCGUGGAUAAGGCAUGCAAGUCAAACGGGCGACCUACCUUCGGGUGGGAAGCUAGUGGCGAACGGGUGAGUAACACGUGGGUAAUUUGCCUUCGGAUGGGGGAUAACAUCGGGAAAUCGGUGCUAAUACCGCGUAACAUUCAGGAUUCGCAUGUUUCCUGGAUCAAAGGUGGGGAUCCUUCGGGACCUACCGUCUGAAGAGAAGCCCGCGGUCGAUUAGCUUGUUGGUGAGGUAAUGGCUCACCAAGGCGACGAUCGAUAGCCGACCUGAGAGGGUGACCGGCCACACUGGGACUGAGAUACGGCCCAGACUCCUACGGGGGGCAGCAGUCUAGAAGCUUCGGCAAUGGGGGAAACCCUGACCGAGCGACGCCGCGUGCAGGACGAAGGUCUUCGGAUCGUAAACUGCUUUCGCUGGGGGAGAAAUGCCUUGGGGUAAAUAAUCCCGAGGCUAGACGGUACCCAGAAAGAAGCUCC
rnacentral:rRNA from 1 species